GCGGAUGUGGCGGAAUUGGUAGACGCGCACGGUUCAGGUCCGUGUGCCCCUCGGGGCGUGGAGGUUCAAGUCCUCUCAUCCGCA
rnacentral:tRNA from 1 species